UACAGAGGGGCAAGCGUUGUUCGGAAUUACUGGGCGUAAAGGGCGCGUAGGCGGCCUGUUAAGUCGAACGUGAAAUCCCCGGGCUCAACCCGGGAACUGCGUCCGAUACUGGCAGGCUUGAAUCCGGGAGAGGGAUGCGGAAUUCCAGGUGUAGCGGUGAAAUGCGUAGAUAUCUGGAGGAACACCGGUGGCGAAGGCGGCAUCCUGGACCGGCAUUGACGCUGAGGCGCGAA
rnacentral:rRNA from 1 species